CGCAUCUGUGCAUGCAGCAUAUCAAUAAGCGGAGGAAAAGAAACUAACAAGGAUUCCCCUAGUAACGGCGAGUGAAGCGGGAAGAGCUCAAAUUUGAAAUCUUAAAGGGUUUCCCUUUACGAAUUGUAGUUUAAAGAAGUGUUUACUGUUGAGGUUUUGGUAAAAGUUCUUUGGAAUAGGACAUCAUAGAGGGUGAGAAUCCCGUAUUUGACCUUUACUUUCAACUUUGUGAUACACUUUCAAAGAGUCGGAUUGUUUGGGAAUGCAGUCCAAAAUGGGUGGUAAAUUUCAUCUAAAGCUAAAUAUUGGCGAGAGACCGAUAGCGAACAAGUACCGUGAGGGAAAGAUGAAAAGAACUUUGAAAAGAGAGUUAAACAGUACGUGAAAUUGUCAAAAGGGAAGCGUUUGACACCAGUGUUGUUUUUCUGAAAAUCAAUUAAAGAACUGUUUAUGCUAAGUUGUUUAGACUUUAUCAGCUAACUGUUUAGUUUUGAGCUUUUCUUUAAUGCACUUUUCAGUUAACAAGUCAACAUCAAUUUCUUUUGCUGUAAAAAAGCUUGAGGAAGGUGGCUUGAGAUUCGUCUUAAGUGUUUAUAGCCUCUUGCCUAUGCAGUCGGAGAGAUUGAGGUCUGCAGCGUAGAUCCUUCGGGGCUAAAUGCAUUUGUGCUAAGUUAUAGCAUUUUAUAGACAACUUGUUGACUAUGAUUUGUCUUGUAGCUUACUCGCUUAUGUUAUUUUACCUACGCUUAGGAUGUUGAACGCGCACAGAGUCUC
rnacentral:rRNA from 1 species